GUGGGGAAUAUUGCACAAUGGGGGAAACCCUGAUGCAGCGACGCCGCGUGAGUGAUGAAGUAUUUCGGUAUGUAAAACUCUAUCAGCAGGGAAGAUAAUGACGGUACCUGACUAAGAAGCACCGGCUAAAUACGUGCCAGCAGCCGCGGUAAUACGUAUGGUGCAAGCGUUAUCCGGAUUUACUGGGUGUAAAGGGUGCGUAGGUGGUAUGGCAAGUCAGAAGUGAAAGGCUGGGGCUCAACCCCGGGACUGCUUUUGAAACUGUCAAACUAGAGUACAGGAGAGGAAAGCGGAAUUCCUAGUGUAGCGGUGAAAUGCGUAGAUAUUAGGAGGAACACCAGUGGCGAAGGCGGCUUUCUGGACUGAAACUGACACUGAGGCACGAAAGCGUGGGGAGCAAACAGGAUUAGAAACCCCAGUAGUCC
rnacentral:rRNA from 1 species